UCGGAUUUGGGUUAAGGGGCUUCGGAGAAGCCGGAUCUAAAGUUUUCUUCUUUUCCGGCCACCGCAUACGACGGUGCCAGCGCUGGAGAUCAACGACCGGCGCGGUGGCCGAUGACCGGUCGACGGUCGGACUGGGGGGCUGGUGCCAGGAAGAGAAAUGAGAGUUUGAGAGAUUUUUUUUAAGUUUUUUUUUGUAAAGAAUGAAAAAUGAGAUUUUGUGAAUUGAUUUUGGCUUAAAUAGGCAAUUAAAACGGCGCCGUUUAAGGCCAGGGUUGACCCGAAUCCGACCCGACCCAGCUUUAGGAUCCGCGUGUUUUAUAUGGAGGGGCAAAUUGUAUUUUGACCCCUC
rnacentral:lncRNA from 1 species